rnacentral:lncRNA from 1 species
CCUAGAAGUCAACUUGGGGAACUUAUCAUACCUAAUAAUAAUAAUAAAAGAGCAACUUCUAUGCAUCACUGCAUUCUCAGUUGUACUGAGGUAUUUUCCUUUGUGCAACAGGAAAGAAAACAUACAAGCAACUUAAAAGAUUAUCUGAAGAACCUCACUCUGAAGUUGCUUCUUCACACCCUCCUGGAAGAAUGGGAAAUGAAAAGAGAAUGCCCAUCAGUGUCUAAAUCAGAAAGCUGGCAGGGUGACUGUCAGUUUUAAUGAACAUCGCCCUCUUCUAACUAGUAGCAAAAAUUCUAGUCAUGUGACCUAUUGACAAGAAAUUGAAUUCCAUAGUGAUUUCGAAUAGUCUUCUUUUUAGCUUAGGAAUGAAGAAAAUGGCUCUCUUCGAAGAGGUAAGAUGGUAUGACAUAGUAGUGAUCAGGUCCUAGCCCAGAAGGCAGAUCAUGCAGGUGCUCACUGCUGAGAGAGACUGGCCAUGGCCAAGAGGAGAGAAGUGGGGAAAGGAGAGAGAGAGAAGAAAGGCUAGAGUAAGAGGGAGAGAGAAUAAGAGAGUGAGAGGAGAGGUCAGAGAUAGAGGUGGGGCCAAGCAGCUGUUAUCUUUACUGUUGCUAGGUAACUGGGAGGAGUCUAGCCUGAAGGUGAGAAGCUUGGGACAUUGUCUACGUGACUGUUAGCCACACUUCUCUUGUGGGGGCUGUGGAGGCGGUAACUUCUACUGGAGCCAAGGUUCCAGGAGACAUGAAAGAACGCCUACUGUCCCCAUGUAGGUGAAUUAUCACCAUUCAGGUUCUACCAGGGUUCAGACCUCAACUCGGCAGGAGACCAGGCUGUCUGUGUAUAGCCCAAUGUCCCACACUUUACUUUCUUCCCUUCUCCUCCAUUUCUUCUUCUUCCUCUUCCUCCUGCUCUUCCUCCUCUAAAGUGGGAAUUCCUGAUUUUGUUGGAGAUUCAGUUGUGUCAUGCGGUGCUUUUCUGGAAACUGCCCUGUGAGAAGCUCGUUUCCUGAAGCAGACUCGUGACAGGAUGUUUGCUGAGAACAGACGCGUGGUAUUUUCCUGGAAGUUGCCUAGUGAAGUGACAUGUGAUGUUUUGCUGGAGCUGAUGCUUGAGAGGCAAUGUGAUGUUUGGAAAGAGGAUGAGUCUAACCCAACAGACUGUGGACAGUGUUCUUGUAUUGCUUCUCUUUGGAACUCUGCGGGUCAUUGUUGGGCUUCACUGGUGCUGGUCUCCCGCUGAUGAAAUUCUUGCAUUGGUUCGCCUUGCUUUUUUAGCUGAUCUUCACUUGUCAUGACUUCGUAGAGAGACAUGCACCAAAGAACUUCUGGUGGUAUUCCAGCUGCUUCUUGCUGCUUCCACAGACUGGUUCCAAUCGGCAGAUCCCUGCUGCUUCUUCUGGAUAAAGCCACUGCUACUGAGUCGUGUUUGGUGUUUUGCUAGUGGACUGAACUGCUGACAACGAUGAUUGGAAUCACCCCAAAGAACAAUUUCUAAACAGGUUUCUGUGGUCGUAAAGCACAGUGAGCAAAAGCAGCCUGAAGAUGGAAGGUUUUAUAUGGCACGUGCUUCCACAACAUAGUCCACUACAG